rnacentral:rRNA from 1 species
GCUCGAGUGGCGAACGGGUGAGUAACACGUGAGUAACCUGCCCUUGACUUUGGGAUAACAUCAGGAAACUGGGGCUAAUACCGGAUAGGAGCUCCUGCUGCAUGGUGGGGGUUGGAAAGUUUCGGCGGUUGGGGAUGGACUCGCGGCUUAUCAGCUUGUUGGUGGGGUAGUGGCUUACCAAGGCUUUGACGGGUAGCCGGCCUGAGAGGGUGACCGGCCACAUUGGGACUGAGAUACGGCCCAG